rnacentral:rRNA from 1 species
UGAGGAAUAUUAGAAAUGGACGAAAGUCUGAUCUAGCAACACCGCGUGUGCGAAGAAGGCCUUCGGGUCGUAAAGCACUUUUUGGAAGGAAUAGGAAGGAAUGUACUUCCAGAAUAAGUCUCGGCUAACUACGUGCCAGCAGCCGCGGUAACACGUAGGAGGCAAACGUUAUCCGGAUUUACUGGGCGUAAAGCGCGUGUAGGUGGUACUGUAAGUAGGGCGUGAAAGCUCCCGGCUCAACUGGGAGAGGCCGUUCUAAACUACAGAACUAGAGGAUGGUAGAGGGAGGUGGAAUUCCAGGUGUAGCGGUGGAAUGCGCAGAUAUCUGGAGGAACACCGGUGGCGAAGGCGGCCUCCUGGACCAUUCCCGACACUCAGACGCGAAAGCUAGGGUAGCAAACGG